GCACACCGAGUCUGGUCAACUGGAGGUAGUGGCAUCAUCAGCAUCACAGCGCGGCUCGCCCCAGACCCCGCUGUCCGGAUCAAGCCAGCCGCCGCGCUCGACCCACUCCGCCCGCAGUUCCUCCGCACGAGCCAUGAAACAGACUUUACUCGAACUAAUGAGGAUGAACAGAAUUUGUCGGAUGGUACUGGCCACUUGUUUGGGAUCGUUCAUUCUGGUCAUCUUUUAUUUCCAAAGUAUGUUCCAGCCAGUCAUGCGGAGGAACACAUUCGUGGCGGAGGGGUGCUGCGGGAAAGGAUCCAGAAACGCCCUAGAGGAGCUCUACAACUCAACGCAGACGGAGUUCACGGCGGCGGCGCUUCUGCACCAGGCUCGUCGGGAUCGCGUCUCGGCGGCGUGCCGCGCUCACUCAGCCUCCAGCCGACAGCGUCGCGUGCUGACGCCCGGCGACCUGCGCCACCUGCUGGUGGACGAGACGCACCGCCUCAUCUACUGCUACGUGCCCAAGGUGGCGUGCACCAACUGGAAGCGGGUCAUGAUGGUGCUCUCGGACGACGGCAAGAAGUACACCGACCCCAUGCAGAUCCUGUCGUUCGAGGCGCACGUGCCGGGCAACCUGCGCUCGCUCAGCCAGUACAGCAUCGGCGAGAUCAACCGCCGCCUCAAGGGCUACCUCAAGUUCCUGUUCGUGCGCGAGCCCUUCGAGCGCCUGGUGUCGGCCUACCGCAACAAGUUCACGCAGCGCUACAACACCUCCUUCCACCGGCGCUUCGGCACCAAGAUCGUGCGGCGCUACCGGCAGAACGCCACCGAGGAGGCCAUGCGGCUGGGCGCCGACGUCACCUUCCGCGAGUUCGCCGCCUACGUGACGGACCCGGCCACGCAGCGCGAGGGGCUCAACGAGCACUGGCAGACGGUCCACUCACUCUGCCACCCGUGCCUCAUCCACUACGACGUGGUGGGCAAGUACGAGACCCUGGAGGAGGACGCCGCCACCGUCCUGCGGCUGGCCAACGCCGAGGACGUCCGCUUCCCCGCCUACGCCAAGUCCACGCGCACCACCGACCAGAUGGCCGCCGUGUUCCUCCGCAACGUGAGCGUGCAGCAGCAGCAGCAGCUCUACCAGCUCUACAAGAUGGACUUCCUCAUGUUCAACUACUCCACGCCCAGCUACCUGAAACUAGACUAGACACACACACAUGGACACACACAUGGGCACACACACACACACACACACACACACACACACACACACACUGAGAGUGGAAACAUAUUACCAAGCUGGGCUUCCUUCUUGGAAAAGCAAAGAAGAGGAAAACAAGAUGGAUUGAUCUUGUUCUUGAAUCUUGAAUUUACCCUUGGGGAUCAAUAAAGUAUCUAUCUAUCUAUAUCUAUCUGAUGGAAAAAGGGAAAACUUGAUCAACUGUCUUCAUGCAGGGUAGGGGUUCGACUAAAAAAAAAAAAGAGAAAAAAAAAAUGAAACGGGACAAAAUAACGGACAAGAAAGGGUAUGGAGCCUGGGAGGGCAGGGCCUCAUUUUUGAUUGGACCAGAGGGUUGUCAGUCAGUGGAGAGCAGAGCUCACACAUGAAGAGUGAGGUUCUGAUUGGUCAGUUAUAUUCCAUUAGUUAGCAUGUUUCCAACCAAAAGGUUCACAGCAAGUUUACCAUCCAAACAUAUCAUCACUCAUAAACACAAAUACGUGAGGUGUGUGUUUGUGCCAAGUUUUCGCGUCGAAGCCAUAUUUUUGUUUCAUAAACAACGCGGAGGUGGAUUGACACAAAUGCUCACCCAUGAACUGGUCAGAUCUGACCCUCACGCCUAAAGCCGGCCUGUGUCUGGCUGACGAAGGGAAAUCGGUCUCCAUUAAACGGCAAAUCACACCCCAGCUGGACAUUCCUCUGAUCCACUCCAAGCUGGCUUUUCUAGCGGGAGGGUGUCACUGCCCAUGUGGACAGGCCACAUUUGGGACUUGGCACCCGAGACUGAAGGACCUGUGCUGACCACAGAAAGACAUCACACUCCUCAGCUCCUGAAUUCUGGCUCUGGUGUUUGGGUUUUUGUCUUCUGUGUUUAUGUGUGUGUGUGUGUGUGUGUGUGUGUGUGUGUGUGUGUGUGUGUGUGUGUGUGUGUAUGUAUCUCCACUGGGAAGCCAUGAUCCCUAGGACCCUAAGGAGACAUGUGUCCUCACCCAAUAAAUGAACCCUUCGCUCUGUCAACAUCUCAGUACACAUGAGGACGAUACCGCAUCACAUUCCAGUGUUUGAUAGACGAGAUCAGCGUGUCUUGUCCUUUCUGCAUUACUGAGAGAAAUCACAACAAUGGACACCUUGUGGUGAAGAUACAAAAGAGGAUCACAGCACUAUAGCUCAAUCCUAAUACUGCAUCAAAUUGAUCACCAAAGUUAAACCAUGUGGUGAAAAAAGGGAUAUAUAUAUAUAUAUAUAUUUUUUUUUUUUUUUCAGCUAAGAAUUACUAAUCAAAUUAUAUAGUUCUAAGGCUCUGAGCUGUGAUUGGCUCACAGACCUCAAUGGGUGUGGUUUAUUGGUAAUGCAAUGCUUUUGGGAGUAACAGGCUGCAUUUCUGUAGAGUGGACGCUGCAUGGGCUGCAUGAUUCUGUCCCAGGAGGGCCGCUUCACGUGCUGCUUUUCCUCCGAGCUCAGCAGUUAUUUCUCUGAUUAAGACAUGCAGAUCUGCAGAGAGGAGGCUGUUAGGCCAUAAUUAAUCACCGGUUUAAAACGUCUCCCGAAAUUGUGUGUGUCUCAUUGUAAAGUAGUAGAAUGAGGUGUUGUCUUGUCCUCUGUUCACAAAGGUGUUAACAGAUUGAAUUUGGGGUUCAUCCAGUCUGUGUGUCCGUGUGUGUGUGCAAGCAGAAGGCUGUGCCUACAGUAGAACUGAAUGGCGGCAGAUCUUUAGGCUAACUGCACUCCUCUUUUGCUCCCCCUCACUCCCAUUUCAUAUUUAUUUAUUUAUUCCUGUUGCCAUGGUAUCACACCUGGAUUCUGUCUGGCGCUCAUUGCAGAAAGGCUCCUGCUGGUUCACUGAGUCCAGUCAAACUUCACCAACACAAACGACAGCAAACGGCAAACUGCUCCAGCAACUGUACAGACUGUGUGUUGGAGGUCCAUAUGUAUCCCUUUGGGGAAUGUGUCCUGUGGGUCUUUCUGGGUCUCUUCUUGCUUCCCAAUAAAGAUGAAACAA